UGAGCAACCUACCGAAAUGUGGGGGAUAGCCGGCCUAACGGCCGAGUAAUACCGCAUACGCUCUCGUUGAGGCAUUUCAUUGAGAGGAAACCUACGGGACAUUUCGAGGGGCUCGCGGCCUAUCAGCUAGUUGGAGAGGUAACGGCUCACCAAGGCAACGACGGGUAGCUGGUCUGAGAGGAUGGCCAGCCACAUUGGGACUGAGAUACGGCCCAGACUCCUACGGGAGGNAG
rnacentral:rRNA from 1 species